rnacentral:rRNA from 1 species
CCCUUAGAUGUUCUGGGCUGCACGCGCGCUACACUGAUGCGCUCAACGAGUUUAUGACCUUGCCCGGAAGGGUUGGGUAAUCUUUUCAAAACGCAUCGUGAUGGGGAUAGAUUAUUGCAAUUAUUAAUCUUCAACGAGGAAUUCCUAGUAAGCGCGAGUCAUCAGCUCGUGCUGAUUACGUCCCUGCCCUUUGUACACACCGCCCGUCGCUCCUACCGAUUGGGUGUGCCGGUGAAAUGUUCGGAUCGGCCGUUUGUCGCGGUUUCCGCGGCUCGUGGCUGAGAAGUUCAUUAAACCCUCCCACCUAGAGGAAGGAGAAGUCGUAACA